AUUGAACGCUGGCGGCAGGCCUAACACAUGCACGUCGAGCGGAGCGGCGGACGGGUGAGUAUUGCCUACGAAUCUGCCUGGUAGUGGGGGAUCACGUCCGGAAACGGGCGCUAAUACCGCAUACUAUCAGAUGAGCCUAUGUCGGAUUCGCUAGUUGGUGGUGUAAAGGCCUACCAAGGCGACGAUCCGUAACUGGUUUGAGAGGCUGAUCAGUCACACUGGAACUGAGACACGGUCCAGACUCCUACGGGAGGCAGCAGUGGGGAAUAUUGGACAAUGGGCGAAAGCCUGAUCCAGCCAUGCCGCGUGUGUGAAGAAGGUCUUCGGAUUGUAAAGCACUUUAAGUUGGGAGGCGUUACCAACAGAAUAAGCACCGGCUAACUUCGUGCCAGCAGCCGCGGUAAUUC
rnacentral:rRNA from 1 species